AGUCGGACGGGAUUCAGGGAGUAGCUUGCUACAAACUGAUGAGAGUGGCGCACGGGUGCGUAACGCGUGAGCAACCUACCCAUAUCAGGGGGAUAGCCUCUCGAAAGAGAGAUUAGCACCGCAUAACAUCAUUAACCGGCAUCGGUUUUUGAUCAAAUAUUUAUAGGAUAUGGAUGGGCUCGCGUGACAUUAGCUAGUUGGAGAGGUAACGGCUCACCAAGGCUACGAUGUCUAGGGGCUCUGAGAGGAGAAUCCCCCACACUGGUACUGAGACACGGACCAGACUCCUACGGGAGGCAGCAGUAAGGAAUAUUGGUCAAUGGAGGCAACUCCGAACCAGCCAUGCCGCGUGCAGGAUGACUGCCCUAUGGGUUGUAAACUGCUUUUGUCAGGGAAUAAACCUUUCUACGUGUAGAAAGCUGAAUGUACCUGAAGAAUAAGGAUCGGCUAACUCCGUGCCAGCAGCCGCGGUAAUACGGAGGAUCCAAGCGUUAUCCGGAUUUAUUGGGUUUAAAGGGUGCGUAGGCGGUCCUAUAAGUCAGUGGUGAAAGACGGCAGCUUAACUGUCGCAGUGCCUUUGAUACUGUAGGACUUGAAUCUAUUUGAAGUGGGCGGAAUAAGACAAGUAGCGGUGAAAUGCAUAGAUAUGUCUUAGAACUCCGAUUGCGAAAGCAGCUCACUAAGUUAGUAUUGACGCUGAUGCACGAAAGCGUGGGGAUCAA
rnacentral:rRNA from 1 species